rnacentral:tRNA from 1 species
GGGUCAAGUUUACAGAUGGUUCUGUAGAAGACCUGCAAAGUCUUUAAAUUUAAGGUUCGAUUCCUUCUUGACUCU